rnacentral:ncRNA from 2 species
CCCGCCGAGGGGCGCUGCGACCAUGGGGUCUCCCAUAGGCCAGGCUCGGCGCGGCCUCCUGUACAACGGCGCCCCCGUAAC